rnacentral:rRNA from 1 species
AUUGAACGCUGGCGGCAUGCUUUACACAUGCAAGUCGAACGGUAACAGGCCUUCGGGUGCUGACGAGUGGCGAACGGGUGAGUAAUGCAUCGGAACGUACCCAGAGGUGGGGGAUAACGCAGCGAAAGCUGUGCUAAUACCGCAUGUGAUCUGAGGAUGAAAGCGGGGGACCGAGCAGCAAUGUUUGGCCUCGCGCCUUUGGAGCGGCCGAUGUCGGAUUAGCUAGUUGGUGGGGUAAAGGCCUACCAAGGCGACGAUCCGUAGCUGGUCUGAGAGGACGACGAGCCACACUGGGACUGAGACACGGCCCAGACUCCUACGGGAGGCAGCAGUGGGGAAUUUUGGACAAUGGGCGCAAGCCUGAUCCAGCAAUGCCGCGUGCGGGAAGAAGACCUUCGGGUUGUAAACCGCUUUUGGCAGGAACGAAACGGUGUCCGCUAAUACCGGGCGCUAAUGACGGUACCUGCAGAAUAAGCACCGGCUAACUACGUG